rnacentral:rRNA from 1 species
GACGGAGGGUGCAAGCGUUGUUCGGAAUUACUGGGCGUAAAGCGUACGUAGGUGGCGGGUUAAGUCGAAUGUUAAAGCCUGGGGCUCAACCCCAGAGAUGCACUCGAUACUGGCUUGCUAGAGGGUGAUAGAGGAAAGCGGAAUUCCCAGUGUAGCGGUGAAAUGCGUAGAUAUUGGGAGGAACAUCAGUAGCGAAGGCGGCUUUCUGGGUCACACCUGACACUGAGGUACGAAAGCGUGGGGAGCAAACGGG